GCCAGGUUCCCGCAAGUGCCUGGGACCUGCGACGCAGUUCAUGCCGGUGGCAUUCCUCCCUGCGAAACGAAUGGCACAUUCCAACACCAGUACGGUGCCUCGGGGGUUAUUUUUUCCUAACUCGUCUAUAUUCUGAUACUUUUGAACAUUUUAACCAACUUCGUUAGUCUGGGCCGCCCGGCUCUAAGCGGAGUGUAGUUUUGCAGGGAAGGAGCUGGAUGCUUUAGGACAGCUCUUAGAUGCCUGUGAGGGAAGGAGACAUUGGAAAAUCAAAAUAAGAAAACGCCCUUGGAAAACAGGAAUAAACUUCAGGAACUGUGUGCAAGCGAGCCUUUGGUUUGCGGUUGCACAUUUCACUGAACACCGGCCUGUUUUCUUGCUAGGGGACGCGGUCAACUCUUGGUUAAGCUGGGUGUCAUAUGGCCUGGGAAGGACGGAGGGCAUUGACUGGCAAGGCAACCCCGCCCAGGUUCUUAGAAAAUGAGUUGUUUGAAUUAUCUCGAUGAUUCAGGCGAAACAAUUCCCCCUUCUCUAAAAUUACUCAGCCACUUUGUAUACAAGAAAAGUUUAGGGCAAGCUAAGAGUGCCCUGGUAAAUAUUCAGGAAGGUGAAAGGUUAGAACUAUUCUUUUAGGCAGAUUCAGGAAAUGGUUCUCUUCAUGCAUUUUUCUUUUCACCCUCGUUGAACAGUCUGAUGUGAGCAAUUCAGGGGUGAGAUUUUUUUUUUUUUUUUUGGUUUGGUUUCAUGUAAUUUCAGUCAUGAAUGUUUUUCUGAAUUUGAACGUUUUAAGAAAUGCACUGAUGAGCAACAUUCACAUUAUUUGCUACGGAGGCUGCACUGAAAAAUUGAGUCAUAAACAUUUAACAAAUGUUGGAGCACCUGUUGAGUGUGGUGACGUGCUGUUCACCAUGGUGGACAGGGUUCCUCCAUUCCAAGUUUCCGGGCUGUGUUCCCACUAGGGUCAUUGUUUUCUUCUAAUGUAUAACUCUCUUCCAAGUCCUCUUUUUGGCUGCUCAAACUCCAAAGAUGGUGUCAUACCCAAAAAUUCAUUACCAAGACCCAUGUCAAGGAGCUUUAUUCCUGUUUUCUUCUAGGAGUUUCAUGAUCUGAGGUCUUUACACUUCUGUCACAGGAAACACAAGAAUACCCCCUGGAUUGGAAAAUCAUUCAGAGGCUCCUUGAGAUGAAGGCCAAGACAGGAUGUUUGCAUAUUGUAGCUACUGCUGCUUCUGCUUGGAAAGAAAGGACUUUGCUCAGAUCUACAAGUGACUGCCUCAUUAUUCUGUUCUCAGCUUCUCAUCUUGUUGCCUUUAACGACCCUCUUAGCUCAGAUUAGCUCUCCCAUCUACCACCUUUCAGAUGGAGAGAUCUUAAGAAAGUGGCCUGAGAGCAGAGUGGUUAAACUUAAGACUCAGAACUCUGUGUGGUCUGGAUCUGAAUCCCUGCUCCCACGUUUGCUGUGUGUUCUUGAGGAAGUCAUGGGAAAAAGCCAUUGCAAAUCACAUUCUUCAAGGGACUUAAUCAGGUACUUCCUUGACCCGUGACCUCUCUACUAGCAGGGUAUCUGGCAUUAGCAUGAGGACCACAGUCUUCUUUGCCAUAUUGUUCCAGGAACCUGAGAACUCACUUAAUCAAGGUGUCGCUGUUGAUGCGGAGUUUGUAUGUUCCCAUGGACACUUGUCCAGAUGUGUGUUUCUGUGGGGAAAGCUUGAGCUCCACCCAUCCCCCUGAACCCCCCCAUCACCACCACCAAGUGCUAAGCACUGCCUAAGAGCCUAUACACUAUUUCUCCCAGGACCACAGCUCUUUAGUUUACUCACCACGGUUAGCCAUUUUUCCUCAUUGUUCCUAGUCACCCCACCAGACUGGCUGGACCCUGAAGGUUUUCCAGCAUUAGAAAUGUGCUAUUCAGAAAUCAACUCUUCCCCUGUAAUCUUAUUAUGAAACUAGUGUCACUGGCCUGGAUGGUCAUAUUAUUUUAGGGGUGAGCAGCUUUAAUAUAUCCUGAAAAAAUUGCUCUGCUUUAAAAUUUCACACUGUAGGAAUUAGGCUUUAAAUACUUAUUAAUUCUAAAAGAUUCUUGGGUCCUACAAAUUGGCCUUAUUUUGCCUUAUCACUAAUUUCUGAGUACAGGGGUUGCAGAUAGUAGCAUCCCUCAGGUACACUCUAGUUCAGAGGAGUGGAUAUAUGUUUACUCAAAUUUGGAAAAAGAACUCCUUAAGUGGCUAGUCCCAAGAUAAAGAAUAAACCUCUUAUUAAAAAUAAGCCACACCAGAGGAUCAGGAGAAGAUGGCGGCGUAGGAGGACGCUGGGCUCACCACACGUCCUACUGAUCACUUAGA